CAGGCUUAGGAUGUUGCAUCAAAGGCUUGUGAUUUUCCUUUCAGGAUACUCUUCUGCGUAGCAAACAGUCAUGCUCAUUUUUCGUCAUUGUUACCUUCCCCACUCCACUGCCCCUGCGUUGUCAACAGGUCCAGGGCUCUGGACUGCAGCACAUGCAGGCAUACCUGAGCUCCCUUUGAAUCCUGGCUGUCUCAGAUGUUGAAGCAAUGAUACCAGAAGGGAAGGGGGCAUAUGGGAGCUCCAUUCAUCUUGAAGAAGCUGGACAGUAUAUGAACACAAGAGUUGCAAAAGGAUUCAGUAUAUGAAAACACGGACUCUGGCUGCUUUUCCCUCUUUUGUUAAUUAAUUGUGGUGCCAAAAGCAGGUGUCCCAUACUGAAUGGAUCUAAAAAUGUUCAUUUAAGCGUAUCUGACUUGAGAAUGGGGAAGAUGCCUGUUUUCCAUGCAGAUGACUUCUGGUCAUAUAAUACUCCCUAGUAUCAGCAAGCAGUGAUUUAUGAUGGUACAUUUCAUGUCCUGUUAAGAAAAAGGCCAUCUCCAUUUUGCAUGAAGUGUUAAGUGCAAGCAAGUUAUUUUGUUAUGCAGCUACCUCCAAACUGCUGCAGGCUGUUGCUGUCAUUUCUUUCUGAACCUGCCUGAGUUGGGGGGGGGGGGG